rnacentral:rRNA from 1 species
GACGAACGCUGGCGGCGUGCUUAACACAUGCAAGUCGAACGGUGAAGCGCCUUCCUUUUUGGUGGGUGUGUAUGAGCGGCGAACGGGUUAAUAACACGUUAGUAACCUUCUCCCUCUUUCUGGACAACCGCAUGAAAGUGCUGCUAAUACGGGAUAUUCUGGGUCUGUCGCAUGAUGGGUCUGGGACAGUCUUUGUUUCGGUGGGGGAUGGGUUCGCGGCCUAUCAGCUUGUUGGUGGGGUGAUGGCCUACCAAGGCGGUGAAGAGUAGCCGGCCUGAGAGGAUGGACCGUCACACAGGGGAUGAGAGAUGGAGACGCCUACGGCAGGAAGCAGUAGGGAGGAAUCCGCAACGGGCGAAGGACGGAUGGAGCAGCGACGCGGGAGGGAUGAUGGUCGCCGGAGGGUAAAAAUCCUCUUUUGGGGGUGAACAAAGGUUGCAGUAACUGUGCAUAGGUUGACGGUAGCUAGAUAAGAAGCGACGGCUAACUACGUG